rnacentral:rRNA from 1 species
UACGUAGGGCGCAAGCGUUGUCCGGAAUUAUUGGGCGUAAAGAGCUCGUAGGCGGCUUGUCACGUCGGUUGUGAAAGCCCCGGGGCUUAACCCCGGGUCUGCAGUCGAUACGGGCAGGCUAGAGUGUGGUAGGGGAGAUCGGAAUUCCUGGUGUAGCGGUGAAAUGCGUAGAUAUCAGGAGGAACACCAAUGGCGAAGGCAGCUCUCUGGGACGGUACUGACGCUGAGACGCGAAAGCGUGGGGAGCGAACAGG